GGAAUAUGAUGAGUCGUCGAUGCUCGCAAUAAAAAAAUGCGAGAUGGUCGUCCGAGCUCGGCCUAAUUAAGACAAUUUGGGCGCUUUUGCUUUAACCAAUUUGAUUCU